rnacentral:rRNA from 1 species
GACGAACGCUGGCGGCGUGCUUAACACAUGCAAGUCGAGCGAGAAAGCACCUUCGGGUGUGAGUACAGCGGCGAACGGGUGAGUAACACGUGGGCAACCUGCCCCAGAGACUGGGAUAACGUCCCGAAAGGGACGCUAAUACCGGAUGAUGCGCGAUCUGCCAAGUAGGUCGCGCCAAAUGGUAGCUUCGGCUUCUGCUCUGGGAUGGGCCCGCGCCGGAUUAGCUUGUUGGUGAGGUAACGGCUCACCAAGGCGACGAUCCGUAGCUGGUCUGAGAGGACGAUCAGCCACACUGGGACUGAGACACGGCCCAGACUCCUACGGGAGGCAGCAGUGGGGAAUCUUGCGCAAUGGGCGAAAGCCUGACGCAGCAACGCCGCGUGAGCGAAGACGGCCUUCGAGUUGUAAAGCUCUGUCAGGAGGGACGAAGCCACUCAGGUGAAUAGCCGAGAGGGUGACGGUACCUCCAGAGGAAGCCCCGGCUAACUACGUGCCAGCAGCCGCGGUAAGAC